rnacentral:rRNA from 1 species
ACGUAGGUGGCGAGCGUUAUCCGGAUUUACUGGGUGUAAAGGGCGCGUAGGCGGGAAUGCAAGUCAGAUGUGAAAUCCAAGGGCUCAACCCUUGAACUGCAUUUGAAACUGUAUUUCUUGAGUGUCGGAGAGGUUGACGGAAUUCCUAGUGUAGCGGUGAAAUGCGUAGAUAUUAGGAGGAACACCAGUGGCGAAGGCGGUCAACUGGACGAUAACUGACGCUGAGGCGCGAAAGCGUGGGGAGCAAACAG